AACGAACGCUGGCGGCAGGCCUAACACAUGCAAGUCGAACGCUCCGCAAGGGGAGUGGCAGACGGGUGAGUAACACGUGGGAAUCUUCCUAUUGGUAUGGAAUAGCUCAGGGAAACUUGGGGUAAUACCGUAUAAGCCCGAGAGGGGAAAGAUUUAUCGCCAAUAGAUGAGCCCGCGUCUGAUUAGCUAGUUGGUGAGGUAAUGGCUCACCAAGGCGACGAUCAGUAGCUGGUCUGAGAGGAUGAUCAGCCACACUGGGACUGAGACACGGCCCAGACUCCUACGGGAGGCAGCAGUGGGGAAUAUUGGACAAUGGGCGAAAGCCUGAUCCAGCAAUGCCGCGUGAGUGAUGAAGGCCUUAGGGUUGUAAAGCUCUUUUACCCGAGAUGAUAAUGACAGUAUCGGGAGAAUAAGCUCCGGCUAACUCCGUGCCAGCAGCCGCGGUAAUGUAGACGUCU
rnacentral:rRNA from 1 species